rnacentral:rRNA from 1 species
GCGGUGGAUGAUGUGGUUUAAUUCGAUGCAACGCGAAAACCUUACCCACCUUUGACAUGUACGGAACCCUUUAGAGAUAGAGGGGUGCUCGAAAGAGAGCCGUAACACAGGUGCUGCAUGGCUGUCGUCAGCUCGUGUCGUGAGAUGUUGGGUUAAGUCCCGCAACGAGCGCAACCCUUGUCAUUAGUUGCUACAUUCAGUUGGGCACUCUAAUGAGACUGCCGGUGACAAGCCGGAGGAAGGUGGGGAUGACGUCAAGUCCUCAUGGCCCUUAUAGGUGGGGCUACACACGUCAUACAAUGGCUGGUACAAAGGGUUGCCAACCCGCGAGGGGGAGCCAAUCCCAUAAAGCCAGUCGUAGUCCGGAUCGUAGUCUGCAACUCGACUACGUGAAGUCGGAAUCGCUAGUAAUCGUGGAUCAGAAUGUCACGGUGAAUACGUUCCCGGGUCUU